AUCGCGGGAAGAGGAAGGGAGCGUAACUCUUAGAAGUCACUAUGGUGACGGGGAGGUACCAGGUAUUUGAGAGCAAUCGCCACCGCUUUCCUGGAACUUGAGGCUGGAGUGCAGUGGUGUGAUCUCGGUUUACUGCAACCUCCACCUCCUGAGUUCCAGCGAUUCUCCUGCCUCAGCCUCCUGAGUAGCUGGGAUUACAGUAAAUACAAUCAAGUGGCAUCUUAAAUUUUUGCUGGAAGUGGAGUCAUGAGACUAAAGAUAUCUCUUUUAAAAGAACCAAAGCAUCAAGAAUUAGUAAGCUGUGUGGGCUGGACUACUGCUGAAGAGCUGUAUUCAUGUAGUGAUGAUCACCAGAUAGUGAAGUGGAACUUGUUAACCAGUGAAACAACUCAAAUAGUAAAGCUUCCUGAUGAUAUUUACCCUAUUGAUUUUCACUGGUUUCCAAAAAGUUUGGGUGUAAAGAAACAAACCCAGGCAGAAAGCUUUGUCCUCACAAGUUCUGAUGGUAAAUUUCAUCUGAUUUCCAAGUUAGGAAGAGUGGAAAAAAGUGUAGAAGCUCACUGUGGAGCAGUACUUGCAGGAAGAUGGAAUUAUGAAGGAACAGCAUUAG
rnacentral:lncRNA from 1 species